GUGCUCACUUGAGCAACACAUAUACUAAAAUUAGGACAAUACAUAGAAGUUCAGUAUGGUCUUAGAAACAGAUGAGACACAAAUUCAUGAAGUAUUCCAUAUUUUU